GAUGAAGAACGUAGCGAAAUGCGAUCAGUAGUGUGAAUUGCAGAAUUCAGUGAAUCAUCGAAUCUUUGAACGCACAUUGCGCCCCUUGGUAUUCCAUGGGGCAUGCCUGUUCGAGCGUCAUUUGUACCUUCAAGCUUUGCUUGGUGUUGGGUGUUUGUCUCGCCUUUGCGUGUAGACUCGCCUUAAAAUAAUUGGCAGCCGGCGUAUUGAUUUCGGAGCGCAGUACAUCUCGCGCUUUGCACUCAUAACGACAGCGUCCAAAAGUACAUUUUACACUCUUGACCUCGGAUCAGGUAGGGAUACCCGCUGAACUUAAGCAUAUCAAUAAGCGGAGGA
rnacentral:misc_RNA from 1 species